ACCCACCCCUCAGUCCCUGCAAAGGGGACAAUAUACUUGAAGCCUAAUUGGGCUGUGGUUAAAAGUCUGACUAUUCAUUAUUUAAGCAAGUUCAGAGAAUACAUAUACAGUGCUCUAGACUUGGUUGGUUCGGAGCUGUUCAUGCUUAUGCAAACAACAAUAUUAAAGAGAGCCCAAGAUAAUUCUUUGAAUGUUUGGAUUAUGAUCACGUAAAGUAGAUGCACUGUAAUUAAAUGUCAAACCAAAUUGUGGGACACAAAUUGAGAUAUAUGAAUCAUUAUUUAAAGUAUCUCUUUUAUUUUACUUGAAGCUAUAUAUUUAACAUUUCUGCAUUUAAUAUAAAAAAAACUGCUAGAUCUACGCUUUAUAUUUCGUUGGCUUGUGUUCUUACAUUAUCCUAAUUGAUUACAAACGCAUCAAACUCAGAGAUGUCUGAAGUGUUUUUUACUGUUCCAGUCCAUUCUAUUUGGUCACAUGUCAAUGACUUCAUCUGCCCUUUACCCCCUCAGUUCUGGGGAAUCAACCAGAAGGGACCUAAUCAUUGAUAUGGUAUUUUAAUAUCAAUCGAUGUACUCCUUUGACAAGUGGCGCAUGCCUGCAAGCAUGCAAAUCGAGUGUUUCCCACACAUAGACCUUACCUCGGCAGGUCGUCUGAAUCAAAACAUAUGAAAGAUUGUUUUUGGCUUUUCCUGGCAGAGAAAGCAGCCGGCCAAAUGUAUUAGUAGUAUAUACUAUAUGCUGUUUGGGUCCAUUCCUAUCUGAACACACUUCCGGUUGGGGAGGGUGGGGGUGGAGGGGGGAUCCCUAUUCACAGGGGCCACUUCCUGUUUAUGGUUUAUGACGGGUCAUAAAACAUAAAACCCAUUGUGUAGGGAUGACAGGUGUAAUGACUGUGGUGGACCUGCAGGGGUCGCUGGGGUGCGGGAUCUGUAUAGGCAGAGGUGUGUAUGUGGGUGUGAUUAGUGUAUGCAUGUGUGUGUGUGUGUGUGUGUGUGUGUGUGUGUGUGUGUGUGUGUGUGUGUGUGUGUGUGUGUGUGUGUGUGUGUGUGUGUGUGUGUGUGUGUGUGUGUGUGUGUGUGUGUGUGUGUGUGUAUGGUAUGCGAGGCCAGGGCGGCUGGUCUGUAGGGGUGUUAACAGGAAGAUCACAGUGCUGUUGGAAGGACGGCCAGCCGGCAAUGUGGACAGGGGGGCGAGGCCCUUGAUGGCGGAAGUGGGCAUACAGACGAUGUCAUAGAGAGUGUGAGGUGGGACACAGUAGAUUACGUGAAAAGCGCUAUAUAAAUUGAAUCUAUUAUUAUUAUUAACAGAUAUUCUAGUGAUUUUCAUCUAACAUGGUGUAUUUGGAUCAACUUUAUUUUACCAUUAGUAGAUUGUCUGUCUAUGAUGCGUUGAGUGGGCGUAGGCCUGUAGGACCUACGUGUGCGUGGGUCCAGUACCUAUUGGACAGGCGUCUAUGACGUAGGGGCCUUAGGUGUGAAUGUCUACCGAGGGACUGCUAUCAGGCAUAAAUAUACGGGGCCCCGUGAUACGGGAGCGUACGACCUCCGACCCUGACGUUAGACACGCUAUUCUAAGUUAGUAAACGCGUCGUGGCAGUUGGAAGAAAAAAAAAAACAGCGAUCUGUCCUGCACAACUAUGCCGACUGACUCUGCGAUUACUUCACAGCGAAUUGCGGUGCCGGAGGCGAGAGCGUGAAACAGCAGCAGGGUCCACGUGGAAAUUUGCCUGAUAUUCGGCUCAACAUUCAAAGACCGAUUCUAGCAGACCAGACUAAUGUGCUGACAAGCGGUAGUUUUGUACCUAUCGAGGCCAAUGUCAUUCAGCGAACCCCCGGACCAAAUCGACUGUCCAAGAAGAAUUUGAAAAGAUCGGCGGGGGUAGUGGUGGCUAUACCCUGUUCACCACUGGCCAUAGAACAGCUACAAAUUCCUUAUAAAAAGGCUCGCAAGGAUGCCACACAUAAUGGUUUAACUCCGGAGAAUAUUACCCAGGUUAUACAGACAGUCAUAAAUCCGCAAAUUGCGCCACAUGGAGCGGCAUGGACUGAUCCCAAACACCGUGUGAUCGGGGACGUGGAGGUGUAUGUGCCUACAGAGACCGUCACUGUGCAACCGGAUGGGACUAUACAACACGCCCAUGGAGAUCCCCAGUGUGCGCCACCACCAGAGCUGACCGCCGACGAUUGGGCUGGUCUUGACGACAUCUCGUCCUGGACUUCAUCGUUGUUGGAACAUAUCGACUUCACUCCUGCGCAGUGGAUCGACUCUCCAUCUACAUCCGUAGAGGCUACCACCAGUGCAGAGCCUGUACAACACCAUCAGCCUGCAGAUCCUGCAUCUGGACCCCUACAAGCCAUUCAAGACCCUAUCAGCGACCCCCCGUGCACCGUGAGUCCCAUCGCUCAUGAGGUAGCGGUGCCAAGGCUACCAGCCGGCCCCGCAAUUGCUGUUGAUGAACACCAUGCAGGGGUGCAAGGUGAUAAAUGGCGUAAACAAUUUGCUGAUAAACUAGCUGUGUUAACUGCGUCGGUAGAUGUAAACUCCUUAGGCAUUGCUCGUCAGCGUAAACUGGGGGUGGAGGCUGGUAAACGUGUUGACAGUAUAUAUCAGAAGCUCGAAGAACAGACGAAGAAGUCCUUCACGACUCUCAGGGCCGAGAUUGCGCGUGAUCGUAUGAUUGCUGAAUCCCCAAACACUGAGACCAGUAAUGGUCGUGCUAUCGUUGCCCUUCAGCGUAAGCAUUUGGAUGCCGUGGCAGCUGUGCGUGUCAACACGCAGGGCAUAGUGAGAAUUAACGCGCAAGAGGGGUUAAGAGAUGCUAAAACCGCUCGAAAAUUCUGGUUAAUGCAAUCUGCUAGCGAAGCCAACGUCAAUGCCUAUCGGGCAAUGAGUACCGAGAUGUCUGUGAUUAAUGAAACACUAGCAAAGCUUACGAUGAAUGCUAUUAUUUGAUUUGUGUUUUUGUUUUUAAUGUUUUUUUCUUUUAUUUCAUGGAGAGGGUAUCUUUUGUUUUAAACUGCAUGUAAUAAAACUUUUUCU